rnacentral:sRNA from 1 species
GUGGUACCCGGUCCUCAGGUGCAACCCCCUGCGUGGUCCUCUGUGGCAGCCUUCUCUCAUUCAGAGCUGGGUUGCAGCAGCUCAGACAAUCCUUACCAUGUGAAAGGAGGAAUGACUGUCAUGGCAUGAAAAAAGCAUCACUAUGAAAAAGAAAACUCGGUAGAAGAUAAUGGCAAGUCCAGACUGGGGAUAUGAUGACAAAAAUGGUCCUGAACAAUGGAGCAAGCUGUAUCCCAUUGCCAAUGGAAAUAACCAGUCCCCUGUUGAUAUUAAAACCAGUGAAACCAAACAUGACACCUCUCUGAAACCUAUUAGUGUCUCCUACAACCCAGCCACAGCCAAAGAAAUUAUCAAUGUGGGACAUUCCUUCCAUGUAAAUUUUGAGGACAACGAUAACCGAUCAGCAUUGCUGUAAUCUAGUGAGGCAUCUUGGACUUCUGGAAAACGUCCAGGUGGUAAAGACAAUUUUUUGAACUCCCAGCUCUCUAUUUUCAGUCUUGCUUCUCAAAGUCACCAUCACGUCUC